CCACUUAUUCUGUAUAAAUCUUAUUAUUAUUUUAAAUGUUUUAUAAAAUAUAUUUUUUUGUAUUUUUUUUUUAUGUGUGGUAUAUUUUUGGAGAUGUUACUGGAAAUGCACUUUUAGUUAACAAAUUUGAAAACUCUAUUCUAUACUUGUCAACAGUGGUGAAUUGAAAACAGCAACAUUUUCACAAAAGUCAAUUUUUUUAAUUUAACUUUUAAAAUUGUUCCGAAAAUACUGCCUCUUUUAAAUAUAUAAAAUAAUUAUUACUAGGAAACAAAUUAUUAUCCAGCUCGACACCAACUAUAACAAUAUAUAGUACAAGUUUUUUCAAAAUCAACAGCAAUUAAAAAUGUCUGCAAAAUCUUAACAUAUUACUUGUGAAAGAAUAAAGCCCCUGUUUUUCUUUAUGUAAAUUUAUUUCAUAAUUAAUUAUAAUAACUAAACAAUAAAAACAUAAUUUACAAAAAAAUUUAACACUACUAUCAAAUGAGCUAAAUGAUUCUUAUCCCAAAAAUGUAUAUAUGAAGAGUGAAUGUGUCAAACGUUCUAUGUGCCAAAAAAUUGAAAAAUUGUUUUAUUUCUGAUUUAUGUUCUAUGAGCCAAAGGUCACAAUCUUGUAUGUGUUUCAAGUGUCAAUUAAAUUUUUUUACUUGUACAAAAUUGCGUUCAUAGAUUGUAUUUGUUCGGUGAGACAUGCCCUUUGUUACCUGUACGUUCUAAGUGCCUUGGGCGAAUAUAAUAGUUUGACGAUUACAAUAUUAUAAUAUAGUCUGUUAUAUUUCAAAAUAACUAAUACUGGUGUUGUUGUAUUCGUUAAGUUUUCUUUUUCAUUUGUUUAAUUGUGUUAUUAUGGAUACUGAAAGUAUACAUAUUUUACGAAGUGGUAAAAAAAGAAGAAAUGAUCAGACUAAAAAAAGAAUUAGUGGAAAAUCGUAUGGGACCAGGAAAAGCAAUAAUACAAUUCAGGAAAGCGUCAACUUAGUUGUUAUAACUUUGGAAUACAUCUCGGUGACAGCAAUACAGCCUUUAUGUAUAUGUGGGAUGAAAGUAUUGUUUCUCAUGGAAGCUCAGAAAUCGCUUCUUGUCUUUUUCAAGUUAUUAACAAAAACGAAAAUACGAUAAAUCGCAAAAAACUAUUUAUAUGGUAAGACAACUGUGCUGGCCAAAAUAAAAAUAAAACAUGAUUAUUCCGAAGCUUCUAUGAAAGAAGAAGAAAUAUUUAUAUCUUUAGAUUCUACACCAACCAAUAAAAAAAGGAUCAUACAGAAUGUAGCAAUUGAUGAUAGGACUAAUGGAAUGGAAAAUUUACUACCAAACUCUAUAGGAUAGUUUUAUUUCUUAAACUUUCUUGUACUUGAGCAAUAUGCCAAGAUUUUCUCAAGAGGUUUUGAAUGCAUAAAAAAAUAUUAAUAUUUUAGUAGUAUUGAUAUUACUAACAUACUAACAGGAUAAUAUAUUAGUGUUUUUUUAGAUCCUGAAAAUGUUCCAAUCAAAAUCUGUAAAGCUUCAAUUACCAAUAUAAUAUUAAAUUAAACAUUUAAACAUUUUAUAAUUUUUGAAUAAGUACUCUGUUAAUAAUAUUUUUAAAACCAUUUAUUUAAGAUGCUAUAAAUAAAU